UGGGGAAUAUUGGGCAAUGGAGGCAACUCUGACCCAGCAACGCCGCGUGAAGGAAGAAGGUCUUCGGAUUGUAAACUUCUGUCGCAGGGGACGAAUUUUGACGGUACCCUGCAAGAAAGCCCCGGCUAACUACGUGCCAGCAGCCGCGGUAAUACGUAGGGGGCAAGCGUUGUUCGGAAUUACUGGGCGUAAAGGGUGCGUAGGCGGCCUGAUAAGUCAGAUGUGAAAUCCCCGAGCUCAACUUGGGUGUUGCAUUUGAAACUAUAAGGCUUGAGUGCAGGAGAGGAAAGCGGAAUUCCUAGUGUAGCGGUGAAAUGCGUAGAUAUUAGGAGGAACACCAGUGGCGAAGGCGGCUUUCUGGACUGUAACUGACGCUGAGGCACGAAAGCGUGGGGAGCAAACA
rnacentral:rRNA from 1 species